GCUGCCCGGAGUGCGCUGGCCGCGGGCCUCUGCAUAUACCACAAAGUACUUCAAGAACGUCUGAAGUACAUCGACGAGUUGGCCCAAUGUUCGGUCACCAUGGCUGCUUCUACAGAAUUCGAUUUUGAGAUAAC
rnacentral:lncRNA from 1 species